rnacentral:rRNA from 1 species
GACGAACGCUGGCGGCGUGCUUAACACAUGCAAGUCGAACGGAAAGGCCCUGCUUUUGUGGGGUGCUCGAGUGGCGAACGGGUGAGUAACACGUGAGUAACCUGCCCUUGACUUUGGGAUAACUUCAGGAAACUGGGGCUAAUACCGGAUAGGAGCUCCUGCUGCAUGGUGGGUGUUGGAAAGUUUCGGCGGUUGGGGAUGGACUCGCGGCUUAUCAGCUUGUUGGUGGGGUAGUGGCUUACCAAGGCUUUGACGGGUAGCCGGCCUGGGAGGGUGACCGGCCACAUUGGGACUGAGAUACGGCCCAGACUCCUGAGGGGGGCAGCAGUAGGGAAAAUUGAACAAUGGGCGGGAGCCUGAUGCAGCAACGCCGCGUGCGGGAUGACGGCCUUAGGGUUGUAAACCGCUUUCGCCUGUGACGAAGCGUGAGUGACGGUAAUGGGUAAAGAAGCACCGGAUAACUAAGUG